GGGCGCCUGUAAUCCCAGCUACUCGGGAGGCCGAGGCAGGAGAAUCGCUUGAACCCGGGAGGCGGAGGUUGCAGGUGAGCCGAGAUCGCACCACUGGCGACAGAGCGAGAGUACGUCUCAAGAAAGAAGAAAGGAAAGAAAGAAAGGAGGGAGGGAAGGAAGGAAAGAAAGAGAAAAAGACGAAUUCCUGGUUGUUUUCCACUGCAAUUCUGAUCCGGUGGUCUGGAACAGGGCCUGGGCUCUCUGAGAGCAGCCAGGGUCCCAGACCCUGACCGCGCUGGCCGCCUUUUCCAAGUGAAACCUCCGCAAAGACCAGGAGGAAAGGCUUAGUGGCCGCAGGGCCCGAUCACACUGAAGCACCAUGUGCCAGGAGGGUGCCCGUGACCAGGAAGAUCCCGGAGAUAUGGGGGGCACUGGGAGGGGCGCGGAGUGCAGCACGGGACCCCUGGUUGAAGAGGGGCGCCUCGCCUCUCCUUUCAUCCUUCAGUCGUUGUUUCUUUUUUGAGGCUUCCCCUCAUCUUGUCUGACUGACAGGAGCGUCCACACUUUGUCCUCGCCGCCGCCACCGUUCCUCAGGGCUGCAGCCUGGUCGGAGGACCAGGAAGUGUCCUGCUCAGACUGGCCAGGCACUAAAGUCUGCUUUUCCACCACGAUAGGCUUUGGGUUUGAAGAAGCUUUGUCCCAGCAACUCUGGGUGCGGAUGGGCCAAACAGGCUGCGGGUGUAUUGGGCUUCUGGCCCCGGUCAGCCACCCCAGUGUCCACAGCAGAUGGACGCCCAGAGCUGAGGGGACAGAGGGCUGCCAUCAAACUGCUGGGGCCACGUCUGUAAAUCAGAGCAAAGGCAAUCCCUGGGCAAGGAGUAGGGGCUGAAUCUGAUCCCUGAGCAAGGAGUAAGGGCUGAAUUUGAAAGAUCAGCCUCGGGACUGCUGAACUAAGAACAGUGUGGGGAGGAAGAUCAGGAGGGAGCAGAGAAGGACAGGCCUGGGAUCCCCCCACCCCCCAACAAACCCUGCUGGAAGCUCAAAGCGCUGCUUUAUUGAAGGCCAGACUGGUGGUGUGUGGGUGCCUUGCCCUGAUUAACAGCACUGGGGUCGACUGCAGGUAAUGAGUCAGUAAUUAACAUCUAUAAAAAGACUGUGUCCUAUGCAAAGGACACUGGCCUAAGAAUCCGGAACUCUGAGCUUGCCUCUUAAUAAUUGUGUGACCUUAGACAACCUUUUGUGGCAUCAGACUCCUCGCCUAUCGUGGAGAGAAGCUGGAUUAGAUCCGCUGUUCUUCAUCCUGGCUGCUCACUGCUCUUGGGAAGCUUCUAGAAAGUACUAAUGUCUGGGCCUUGCACCUGGACAUACUGAUUUCAUUGGUCUGAUUGUGUCCGGAAUUGGUGGGUUCUUGCUCUCACUGACUUCAAGACCGAAGCCGCAGACCCUCGCGGUGAGUGUUACAGCUCUUAAAGUGGCGCGUCUGGAGUUUCUUCCUUCUGGUGGGUUUGUGGUCUCACUGGCUCAGGAGUGAAGCUGAGGACCUUCACGAUUUCUAAAGAUUAUACGUCAACCAUCCUGGCCUGUUUCCCAUUCUCCAACCUGAUGCUUGAGAAGGCAUGCUUUUUUUUUUUUUUCCUGACUCAAGAGGAAAACAAAGAAAAAUUAAGAGCAGAACAGCUUUAAAAGACAUUCAUUCAUUCAUUCAUUCAGCAAGUAUCUGUUCAACCUCAUCUCUUGAUUUCUUUCAUUGUCUACCCCACUUCCAAUCCACUUCCAAGACACAUUUUCUCCGUCUUCAAAACAUACCCUGGCUCUCAAAACAUACCCCUUCUAACUGUUCCACUUCUAUCACCCAAGUGCUGUGCUUCUCA
rnacentral:lncRNA from 1 species